rnacentral:misc_RNA from 1 species
UGGUGGAAGCGAUGACCAAACACUGCCUUUCACAAUUAACAUACACAAUUAAAAUUUAAGUCAAAAACCUCAAUCAUCUUUACAGCACAAAGUCAGGUUAGAUCAUUAGUAAACCUCUGGCUCCAAAAUACUGAAUGCGUUAUUACAUGAAAUAGUUCAAUUCACUUCACAAACUAGCAAGCAAUCAGCCCAUGUAAAAUCUACAGCUACUGCCUUGAUGUGGCUCAUUAGCCAAACAAGCCACGCUCAUAAUCCCAAGCUUGUAAAAGAAAAAUUAAGUCAAGCCCAAGCUUAGUUCCAUUGAGCUUAUAGCCUCACAAACAGGCACAUAACUCACUUAGCUACUUAUAGAGAAGAGGCGAUCCUUAUAAGCAUUAUUGUAUCUUUUGAUGUCAUAUUUUUCCCUUAGAAAUAUUAUUGAAACCAUCAUAAGCACUAUUGAUCUUAUGUAGGACCUAGAAAUAUUAUUAAAACCAAGCAACUUAAUAUAGCAUAUUGUACAAGCAUACACCAGUUCCCAUGCUAAUGAAAAGUAAAAGGGAGGGACAUCCCUUUCCAUUAUAAAUUCAUCUGAUAAUGAUCCAAAAAUACCUCAGUACCAAACAAUAUAAUGAUUUCAAAAACAACUGUGUCACAAACCAAAUCAAAAAACAGCAAGAAGAGAACAGAAAAUCCAACAUUACCUACCUAUAUCCACCUAAAGGAAGGCAA